rnacentral:misc_RNA from 1 species
GUGAAUAUGAAGGACGUUCAAUUUAACUUGAAGUCGCGAACUCUCACUCUCUAACCCUGUGCAUUUGUUUUGGUUAGUAGGAUCUUAGUAUAUCUGAACGCCCUCUUCAUUUUACAAACCAAAGUCUAUGAAUGUUUAAAUUUUAUAACAAAACA